GGCAGUGUGGUCGAGUGGUCUAAGGCGCUACAUUUGGGAUGUAGUCUUGGAAACAAGGCGCGGGUUCGAAUCCUGCCGCUGUCA